rnacentral:tRNA from 1 species
GCCGCUGUAGCUCAGUUGGUAGAGCGGCGCAUUCGUAAUGCGCAGGUCGCGAGUUCGAGUCUCGCCGGCGGCU